GUCACUUGGUUUGGGACAUCGGUUGAUGGUGUCUAACCUGUGUCUCUCUCCCUGCUGCGUGCUCGUUUUCCAGGACAACAGGUGUCGGGCGUGUGGAACGGACGAGUCAGACAUUUAUGAACAGACCAGAGGAGCGGAAAUGAACACAGUGUUUUACGUCCAGUGAGAGAAGGCGCAUUCCGGUGAUGAGCCGUACGUAGGCAGCCAGACGGAGGCUUCGGGUGACGCUGCAGGGGAGCCCCCCGCAGCCCAUGGCAGGGACAGGAGCUCACAGCUGGGCGAAAGCUAAAAGACAUGCCGUCCCAGGCCCACUCUGGCUGAGGACACUGGCCGAGGAACAGUGGCACCUGCUGUGCGCACGUGACUCCAUGGGUGUCACGGACCCAGGGUGUGCCAGACUCUGCCACCCAUGUCACGCCUGCACAAUCAGGCCUCCGGUCCUGGGCUAUUUAUACCCCUGGAAUGUCACCAGGCUGGCUGGGAAGCAAAGACCCUUGCGGUGCAUCAAACCCACAACCGCCGCCCCCGUCUCAGCCCAGGACUGCCGAGAAGACCCGCUCAGCGUUAUCGGUGGGCCCACUCCGAAGAUAAGGAGCCCCCGCUUGGCCCCACUAAUGGUAUUAUUUUAGGGACCACUCAAAAGGACAGGAUGGGAUGGGGCACAGUCGUCUGUCAUCCUGUCCUUCAACAACAGGCUACACAGAGGAGAACAAAAGCCAGCGCUGGUUUGGAGAAACCAUCCUCCCCCAAGGCCACUGGGGGAGAAAUCUGCUCCGAGUGAUUAUUUCCAUCCCCCUCGCAGCCCCUCCGGGCAACCCACCCGCCCACAGGCCACGGCAGGACGAGGGCGGAGGGGCAAAGCUCUGGGCUAGACGGAAAGUGUAAGAGGGCUUCUGCUAAAACCUCCUAAAAUAGAGAGAUCCCAGAUCUGGAUUCGGUUAGAGGGUCAGAACUCGAAUAUGUGAGUUCAGAACUCGAAUAUGUGAGUUAGAGGGUCAGAACUCGAAUUGUUGGCUUUAAUGAUUGAAACCAUUUGUAAUCAGCAUUUCUAUAACUCACUUAAGUCGGAGAUGCACCAUCGAGGGUCAGGGACAAAGGUGCAGGCCUCAGCAAACGGCGGUCCACGUGUGCACCCCCCCCACCUCGGUCCCCACCACUCCCACCACCCCCACCCGACACACGCACAAACUGUCCUUGGAAGUUCUGUCAUCUCGCACUCGGAGGCUUGCUCGCAGGCAUUAAAUAAGGCCGUGAAUGUGGGGGAGCAGGUUCAGAGGCGUGGUUCCCAACUCCCCCGGCCACUCGCCGUCGCAGAGAGGACAGCCACCUGCCUGGGAUGAACGUCAGCGAGAAGGUUCACCGCUCCGUUGGCACGCCUGGGGACACCCGAGGAAACCCGAGGAAACUUCUCACUGAUGAUCCCAAAAAGUACCCACCCAGGAAGGCCAACUGGGAGACCCUGACCCGAGCCUGGAUCUAAAAGGGAGGGAUGCAGAGGGCCAGGCCUCCCCAAGUUCAUGCAGCUACUGAGGGCAGACCCCGUCUGGUUCCAAGCCUGGCAAUGACGGUAAUGACAUGUAUUCCUUAAACAAGUCAAGGAAGCUCUGCUGUGUGCCAGGCCCUGGGCUG
rnacentral:lncRNA from 1 species